AUUUAAAUAGCUUAUAAUAGAGUAUGAUAUUGAAGAUAUCAGGGAGAUUAAUAAAAUCUUUAAAUA
rnacentral:tRNA from 1 species